GUCUACGGUCAUGCCACCCUGAACAAGGUCGAUCACGUCUAAUCUCGGAAGCUAAGCAGGGUUGGGCCUGGUUAGUACUUAGAUGGGAGACUAACUAGGAAGACCAGAUGUUGUAGGUG
ensembl:rRNA 5S_rRNA 5S ribosomal RNA